rnacentral:lncRNA from 1 species
CCCCACACAUCAUCUCUCUUAACUCUUAGAAUGAUCCUUAAGUUCGGUUCUAUUAAAAUCUCUCUCUCUCUCUUUUUUUUUUUUUUUUUUUCCCGCUUUUGUAGGGCCACACCCGAGGCAUAUGGAGGUUCCCAGGCUAGGGCCCUAAAAAAAGAAAAAAUGAAAUACAGAGAUUAUACAUGUUAGGUCUCUGCCAAACAAUUUAUCCUUGACUUCCCUGACGCUUGAUUCUUACUGACGUUUCAUUGGAGAAAAUUAUACAGAUGGGAGGAAGCACUCUUUUUUUUUUUUCCUAGAUAUUUAAAAUUUUCUCUUUGGAUCAAAUCAGAUAAAGAACUUCAUAUUUGGGCGACAUUACUCUGUUCCCUCAGUUCAAGUACGAUCUUGAACUUUGCUGUUAGGCCCUAAGUGAAGGCUCCUUGAGCGACACCGUAAGAAAGAGUUAUUAGACACUCCCUGUAAACGUUAUUUAUGACAUCAGUGUCCCUUUCAAAGAUGCACGGGGGAACUUCGGGGCUCCAGUCCAAGCUCCAUCUUACAAAACAUCUUCUCAAAUCCUUGACCGGUUCGGCUCCUUCAUUGCUCAGAGCCGAAUCUGUGACCCUCUACAGUAACUGCUUGAAUCCCUGUGGUUGGAAUUUCUGUGCAGUGGCUUUAUUUCUUGCUUCACUUUACUAGCUUUUUCUCUUUGCACUGAUUUAUCUCUUUUGCAAGGUUUAUAUAAGUCACCUCAAAUGUAUUUCAAAACGAGGCAGGGAUUCAACAGAUACCGUCAUCAUUCUUAUGGCAUUUCCGGAGCAAACAUCCACAAGAAAACACCCCUGGAGAUACAUCCAAAAGUAUGAAUGAUUAUGGGAGAACAUUUUAAAAUGUUUUAAUUGCCCCUGUAAUUAAGACUUGGAGAUAGGACAGCUCUUUUAAAUUAAUUCGACUGAGGCACAGAGGAAACUGAAGGGCACGUUGAUCUCAGACUCAAAGACGAGGAAGAAUCAAAAACUCUCUGUCAGGUAGGAUGCUCUUACUGAGAAAACUGGGACUCACAAGAAGCGAGCAGGAUCCCAUCCGGCCCUUCCCGGGAUGGAAAACGGUCCUGGCAGGUUCCAUCUGGAGGCCUCCUUCAUCUAGAGGGAAGGCUGCUCUGCUGAAAGAGUGAAGCAGGGGGAAACUUCAUUCUCCACAACACAAUUUAAUGCUUCACACCCCCUUUUUCAUAUUGUUUAUGUUAUUAAGACGAUGCUUACAUUUGAGCAAGCCGUAACUUGAUCCUUGUAUUCACGCUUAGUAAAGAUGCUUAUUGAUGCAGAUAAAGUCUGUCAAAUGCAUUCAACAGUGUGCCUGGCACUGAGCAUAAGCGAAGGAGUCAGAGGCCCUGUCCUCAAUGAGCUCAGCCCCUUUAGCCGCUAUGUUUGUUCAUGUAUUCAGGCAAUAGUGAGCAUCAGAAGACAAAGCUGUAAGAAGAAUUAUGAGAGGGCACCUAAAUUACAAUGGGUUGGAGGACCGAGAAAGCCUACCUGAGGAGGUGGCAUUGAGAUGCGACCUGGAGGAUAAGGAGCUGGCCCAGGAGCCAGGAUGGGAAGGGAGGAGGCUGAGCUGAUGGAAUAGCAUGUGCGAAGCCCUGCGGUAGGAAAGGGGUGGCGGGGUGGCUGGAGAGCAGAGAGGGAGGGCCAGGGUGCGUGAGAGGAGGUGAGAGGGUACCUGAGGAGGCCACACUGUGGGACAACACUUCUUCUUCCCCCUGGUAGCCUCUGGCCCAUGCCCUUCACCUGCUUCAAGCCUUUGCUCCAGCCACUUUCUCAGUUAGAUCUGCCCUGACCAUCUCACCUAAAUUGUAACAGCCCCUUCUAAUAUAGUAUAAUACAUUACUUAUUUACGUAUUAGGUUUCUUGUUUGCCUCCCCUUACCCUCUCCUGUAAGGCAGGAAGAGGAAGAAAGUAGGAAUCUUUAUCUGCUUCGUUUACUGACAUAUUCUCAGCAUUCACAACAGCCCUCGGCAGGUACUCAGUCAACAGCUGUUGAAUGGAAUUAAAUUGAAAGGCAGUGAAUGUUUUAAGCAUGAAUGUGACCUUAUCCCAUUAAAUAGCUCCAGAUGCUGAGUGAAAAGGAUAUUUUAAAUCAGAAAGACACUUUUCUGCAUUGGGCCACAUGAACCCUAGAAUCUAAAAACCAGGCUUGGCCAGGAAGAUGUGGAGCUUCUGUCCUUUUAAAAUCACCCGGGUAGAGAAAGAGACAACAUGGGCGUUACGGAGGCUUCAGGCUCCCUGGCGAGAGGCACAGAAGGAAGCCCUGUCGGGUCAGGUCAAGCUGGGAGUGCACUCUGUGUGCGUGCCUACCAACAAAGCCCCAAAUACCUGGGAUCGCCCAACGACAGGUCAGAAAGUUGUGUUUGUGCCUUGCUUCUCUUUGCUGGGGCUUUGCUACUGCCUUGAGGAAGAAACUGUUUAUUUUUCCUAUCAGAUUUUUUUUUAAUGUUCAGGUUUCACUCAAAAGCAAAGCAAUUUGUCCCAGUUAACUCUUUUUAAGGCAGUCUGUUGAAAGAGAUGGCCUCGGGAAGGGGCACUCAUACGCCAUUAAGAGCUGUGUAUUAGUUACACAGGCUCAGGCAGCCUCCUCGGGGCUGAUUCACUCAUUCAACAAGUAUUUAUAGACCAUCUUCUAUGUGAAUGGCCUUGCUGGGGAAUUAAGGGAGCAGUUCGUAUGCACGUUCCUUAUAAAGCACAUCUUCUAGUUGAGGAAAUGACAUAGGUGCACAAGAAGUUAAAUAGAGUCACUGAUGCCAACGGCGCCCCCAGGCAGCUUGUGAGUAAGAGCUAAACUGGUGCAGAGGCCAGGCCAGUUGUUUCCUCUGCCUCAGUCACACAGUAAUGCAGUGACUUCGAAGUACCACCUUCAAAGAACUGACCGUUAUCAGAGAUUAUGCCUGUUGUGCUUCUGGAGUGUUCGAAUGUCUUUUAUAAGAGAAUUAUGACAGUGGCAUUUUGUUUUGAGUCUUUAUUUUGGCAGCGUGAAAAAUGGACAGUCCUGUAUUGGGCUUUGCUAUUAUUUUGAAAAGUCUUACUGGUCUGUUAAAUCUCCUGAACUAGAAACUGCUGCUGCUGCUGCUGCUGGGGGCAGCGGGAGGACGGGAGGCGUUCAUUGCCCGCGUGGAGUAAGCCGGCGGGAUUCUGAUGGUCAGACUGGAGGCACAGGGACAUCCUAUUCUUUGUUGAAUUGAAUCCGCCCAUCCUCUGUGCAGAGGGGCUGUGCACCACGCGGAGCUGACGCUGGGGACGGCCAGCUCAGAGUCCCCGCUGCGGGGAGUGUGUGGGAGGGACCAUGGGGAACCCGUGUGAAGAGUAAAAUUGGGGCUGAGUACAGAGACUCUUGGAUGCCAAGUAAGGAGCUCGCCGUACUUGCCGCUCAAUUUUUCUGUGAACCUAAGUGCUCUGAAAAAUAAAGUCUCUUCACCAGAAAAAGGGUUAACCUGGCACCUGAGUGCAAAAUGAACAGGGGCGGGGAAGAUGCUGUUUUGAGAGACCUGAAGCUUAUAUGGUUUAGGGAAUCUGCUUUAAGAAAGGGAGCAUGAAGUCACCAGUACAAAAUUAGGUAGAAGCCCUAGAAAGGGGUUCGUCUAUGCAAGCAAAGCACUCUGGGGCGUCGGAUCUCUUAGCUCAAUGAUGAAUCCCCUUCCAGGAGAGGGUAACUGUAAAGGCAGAGACCCCAGUCAGGAAGCA